rnacentral:tRNA from 1 species
GCCUUCGGGGUGUAGUGGUCAGCACGCUCGACGCGUAACUGAGAGGUCCGUGGUUCGAGUCCCGGCGAAGGUA